UUACCUACUGGAAGCAAUUUCAGAAAACCCAGGAAUAAUUAAGUAUACAGAAAUAGCUCUUCUAUAAAAUUUCCAUAUAAAAAUAAUGGUAUUUAUUUACAAAGUUUGAGAAUGCUACAAAAUAAUAAUCAGGUUAGAUACUUCAAUCUAAUAAAGUCUACAUUAGGCAGGUCAGAUGUGGUGUUUGCAUUUUCCCCUUAUUUCUCGUUUAAACUGCUUAAAGCAUGUGGCACCAUGAUGUUUCCUUCAUGCAGAAAAAAGCAGAACUGUAUUUUCUGGAAAUAAAACCUAUCAGCACAUGAUCAGAGUACGACAUCUACAAAUGAACAGGUGAACCAGCUGGGGAUUUGGGCUCAUGGCCUUUCUUUUUUGUCUAACAGGGUGGUGAUGGCAAGCAGCCGCCUCGAGACCUCACAGUACUGAACUGUGGGCCUCCGAGCUCCGGCGCGGCCGGUGGGUCUGCCUUUCGGGACACCAAACGGUUGAAGCCGCCACGGUUCUACUGGGAAAAACAGAACUGCAACACGCUCAGAGAAGUCUCUUAGCAGAAGAGAAUCUCGGUCCCCAGAGACUUUGGGUUUGCGAGAAAUCUUUGACCCCAGUCGUGAACACACAGAACCAUCAGGCCAUUUGCCAUUAGUGCCCGACAUGAUGAAGACACCGCAUGGGAAGUGACAACAUGGUGAGUUUGCAGCGACAAAGCGACGGGUUUUAAAACCCAAACGUGAUCCGGGGACGUCUCCUGGUUGAGACAGGCACGGACAGAAAAAAGCUAACAUUGCUACACAAGGGCCAGUUGACCUCCAACGUGCGUGAAGGGCUCUGCCCAGGGAGGAACGGGUUUCUUCUAAGCCUGGGUCUUCCGGGCCGGGACAGGCCUGAGGCUGACACCACAGCCUCUCGCCGGGACCCACGGGGGGAGUCCACUCCUGCUGCUCAGCUGUUCAGCACUUGGUGUGACAGAGCGCUGAUGCUAACCCAGAAGCCCUCUGGGAGGACCCGGGUAAGGGCUGGGUUUGUAGGAGGCAGUGGGGCCCCGGGAGGAGGGAGAUUCGGGAUGCAGGGCAGGCUCUGCCAGACAGGCUGAGGGGCAUCGGGCCGGUCACGCCCCCGGCCGGUUUCACAUGCCUGAGUGAGUGGGGAGGGUCUGCCCCUAUUCUGAGGCCCUUGGUGGAGAAGGGGCGAGUCCUGCCCCCACGUGUCCACUACGCUGGCUUCUAAGGCAGCUACAGGCAGAGGACCAGAGUCCGAUCUGCUGGAGUAGCAAGGGGUCACGACAGCAUGGAAUUCACAGGCCUUCGUGUAAAGCGAAGGCCCUGUAAGAAUACAGGAUUUUAUCUGAAAGUACAGCUGCACAGAAGUAAGCGAAUAUACUUUCUUCUGUCACAAGAGCGUGGUCAGUGAACACCUGCAGCCACUGAAACUUCUGUACUUGUCAGGGACUCCCAGGUCAGAACUGGAGGGGCAGAGUUUAUGCCCUCACCUUUUCUUCCUUAGCACAGUGUGAGUGUAGAAGUAGGUGGGAAAACGGGGUCCCGAAGGUUAUCUACGCACAGCGUUCCAGAGAGAUCUUGGCUAAUUCCUGAGAAAUGUAACUUACGUGGGCAUUAGCUUGAACUUUUUAGAAAACGGUAAAGUCAACGUCAGACACUAUUUUCCUUUUGGGUAAUAGUCUUCGGCUUGAAUGGAAGUUAAGCAAAUGAACUGAACGUUGUAUGACUGUGAAUCAGAGGGCAGGGAGGCACGUUUCUGAGGGCCGCUCAAGCGGCGUCCUGCAGGGGCCCUGGCACACCCCGUGGGUCUGGAUAAAUGUGGGAGUGAUCGUCAGUGCUGGGGGACCACUGCUUCGGGUGCCUGAAAAUGGGGAACCUAUUUGGGAAAAUGAUCCUCAGGUAGUCUUCAGCUCUGCUAAAACUAGUCCAUAUGCAGGAUAAAAGAUUCUCUUUUAUACAUCUAAUAUAAAAAGUAGACCUUUAUGUAUCUAACAACUUGUAAAACUAGAAGAAAACACCUAGAAAAGUUCUCCAUUUCUACUCACUUUCCUAUUGUGUAGGUUCAACUGGAAGGUAACAGAGCCAACAAGGAGACCUCCAUGGGUUAGAAUGUUCUCUUAGUUUAUGGCUACUGCUGGUAGCUAAGUUUGGUUUUCUUUUAUUAAUCUUAGAAAUUCCCUGACAGACUCCAAAAUGUACACCGAAAGCUGGAAGAGUGGGGCCUUUGGAAUUUAGCAGAGAUUUCCCAGUGCACGUUAUGGGGUAGGGUGGCCUGGUAGGGAGGUCUUUCAAUUGUCUGAUUCAGAACAGAAGUCACUUUCUCAGGGGGCCUUCCCCGGAUACCGCCAGCCAAAGUAGCCUUUCCCCCACUGCCCCAUGACCCUGUCAUUGUUUCCAUAGCACGAAUCAACCUGAACAUCUUCUGUCCUGUAUUCACUCAAACACUUACUGAAGGAUUAAAUCUUCCCAUUCACCGUCCAGCCCCCACCCUGCAGGGACCACUGUGGCAGUGCAGCCUUAAAGGCCACCUCACAGAUGCGCCCGAGGUGAGGGGCCUGGUGAGGUAUCAGAGGCCACUUGAAGUGACUCACGCAUGAAGCUAACCAGGCUUCUCCCCCUGUGUGUGGUUCUUGUAGGAAGAGCUGAGGCAGUUUCCUUCCUUUGCUAACCCUGCCCCACCCAUGCCCACUAUGCUCUGACGGUCCCAGGGCCCAGGUUACACCCAAACUUUGCUGUCUCUACAACCUGAGCAGCCCAGAAAGGGCUGUGUUUUACCAAACAGCCGAGUUUCUGAUGUCUGCAUGGCUAAAGUGAGCCACUCCUUUGUGGAAUUCUCUCUGCUUGAAUUACCUGCAGGGGCUCAUGUGUGCCUGGGGGCUGCCCCGGCAUCAUUUUUCAGGUAGGGCAGAGUAUGGGGACAACUGUAAAUUCUGCUAACGAAGAGAGUUAUCCUCUUUAUCCUGGUAAAGUGGCAGCCAACUGCAGACAGUUUUCUCCCCACCAUUUCUAGAAGACAGGGGUCAUUUGUAAAGUUUUGCAGGGGGGCGGGCAGCGCUGAGAGGUGAGGAAUCACCGUCUCAGCACCUCCUUUCCUGGCCCCUCCCCGAGGUCCUCCGUGAUCAUAAGGCACAGUUUAUGCCAACACUUCCUGAAGCUGCUCCCAUCACCUUGUCAUCACAGGAGAAAAUGAAGCGGGUCAGACAGACGCGCAGCGGGGAAGGGCAGGAAGUGUGGGCGGCUGCCUGGGCGCCGUGGGCACUGCCUGGACCCUCCCACAUCAGGGCCAAAGACGCCAGGCUUGGUGCCACCUGCGCGGGUGCUAAACGGAUCACGACUUCACUGACUGGGCGACACCGUGCACCGGAAAGGUUACCGAAUACACUGGCGCUUGAGGGAAAAGGGGACUCUUGAACUUCCCCCAAGCAGAGUGUAACCAGCACCCUCUGGGAGGGGUGUCCGCGUGUGUGUGUACAUGUGCGUGUGCAAAUAACCCCAAGUGCUACUCCUAUAGAGAAGCCUGGAUGUUGUAACCACAAUUUCCUUUUUUUUUUUUUCUGUUUGAUUUCUAUAUGAAAUUGUGACUGAGUAAUGAACUUCAGAACCACAUAAAUCUGUUUAGGGGAGAAGCAGAAGAAUGACAGAAUUUCUCUUUCUAAACAUCUGAGUCUAGCUUUCUGCUCAGGUAAAGCCUUACACCCGUGACAACACAUCCUGUGACCACAGUGUGACUCUGCUGGGCGUCCUCAGCAGUAACCCAAGGGUGUCACUGAGGAACGGAGGCCACUUCCUGCCAAACAAACACCACACGCUGCUCGCUGGCUGUGGAGGCCACUGAUGGGGCACCAGUAACGAAUGAAGACCUCGAGAGGGCAGCUCACUCAGUACAGUGAGAGCUGUACUAGUCCUGAACACCCGCCGAACUCAGCACAAAAGCCUCUGGCCGGGGUGUUAACAAGCUGAGCACGAGUGGGUGCAGACAAAGUCAAGUCGCAAUGUCUUAGGCCAGAAGGACAGGCACAUUUUUGCCCAAGGCCCCCAGCACGCCGUCCUUUCGUGCCCCCUGGUGAACUCAGUGCUAUUAGGCACCAGAGGCCUAGUCUUCUUCCUGGUACCCUCUGCUUUACAACUUGAACUAGACCUUAUUUUAAAAGGCCACGCACAGUCGCGUUUUUCAUGAGGGCGAGACAGGCGUUGCUGUUUUAGUCUGUAUGAAACAUUUUGGCUACGUCCUUGCAAUCUCAUUUUCUAUGCAUUUACCAUAGUUUUCCUAUCACGACCGUGACCAAUUCUUAUUGUACUUCGACUUGUUUAACGCUUGUCUCCUUAUCUAGAAUGUUAGCUCAGAGAAGGCAGUGACUGGAACAUCUGAGAUCUGUUACCGCACGAAGGAGUACCAUCUCUUUCAACGGACCCACACAACGGUUCUCACAACCCUCAAGAGCCACCCUGUCCCUCCACAUACUGAAGGCACACACGCUUCUGCUUCUGAACUAACCUGAAAGUCUGUAUCCCGGUCUGCAAACAAGGUCACGAAGAGAUCAAAGCCACAGAGCCCGCCUAAUCGCCCUGAGUCUUUUCACUGAGAAUGAGCUAAAAUAAAGUCCUGGUGAUUUAUGGA